rnacentral:rRNA from 1 species
UCUUGGUCAUUUAGAGGAAGUAAAAGUCGUAACAAGGUCUCCGUAGGUGAACCUGCGGAGGGAUCAUUACAGAGUUCAUGCCCUCCGGGUAGAACUCCCACCCACUGUUAUCAUUACUCUCGUUGCUUUGGCGGGCCGCUGGGCUCUGCCCGGCCGCCGGCUCCGGCUGGCGCGUGCCCGCCAGAGGCUCCACAGACUCUGAAUGUUAGUGUCGUCCGAGUAACUAUAUAAUCGUUAAAACUUUCAACAACGGAUCUCUUGGUUCUGGCAUCGAUGAAGAACGCAGCGAAAUGCGAUAAGUAAUGCGAAUUGCAGAAUUCAGUGAGUCAUCGAAUCUUUGAACGCACAUUGCGCCCUGUGGUAUUCCGCAGGGCAUGCCUGUUCGAGCGUCAUUUCAACCCUCAAGCCCAGCUUGGUGUUGGGCCCUGCCCGUCGUGGCUGGCCCUAAAGACAGUGGCGGCGCCGCCUGGCCCUCAGCGUAGUACAACUCUCGCUCCAGGGUCCGGCGGUGGCCUGCCAGAACCCCCAACUCUGUGGUUGACCUCGGAUCAGGUAGGGAUACCCGCUGAACUUAAGCAUAUCAAUAAGCGGAGGA